UACGGAGGGUGCGAGCGUUAAUCGGAAUUACUGGGCGUAAAGCGCACGCAGGCGGUUUGUUAAGCUAGAUGUGAAAGCCCCGGGCUCAACCUGGGAUGGUCAUUUAGAACUGGCAGACUAGAGUCUUGGAGAGGGGAGUGGAAUUCCAGGUGUAGCGGUGAAAUGUGUGGAUAUCUGGAGGAACAUCAGUGGCGAAGGCGACUCCCUGGCCAAAGACUGACGCUCAUGUGCGAAAGUGUGGGUAGCGAACAGG
rnacentral:rRNA from 1 species